rnacentral:rRNA from 1 species
UACGGAGGAUGCGAGCGUUAUCCGGAUUUAUUGGGUUUAAAGGGUGCGCAGGCGGCACGGCAAGCCGGCAGUCAAAUCGCGGGGCUCAACCCCGCCCAGCCGUCGGAACUGCCGGGCUAGAGUGGGCGAGAAGUGCGCGGAAUGCGUGGUGUAGCGGUGAAAUGCAUAGAUAUCACGCAGAACUCCGAUUGCGAAGGCAGCGCACCGGCGCCCUACUGACGCUCAGGCACGAAAGCGUGGGUAUCGAACAGG